GACGAACGCUGACGGUGUGCUUUAGGCAUGCAAGUCGAACGAGAAAGCCCUUCGGGGUGAGUAAAGUGGCGAACGGGUGAGUAACACGUGGGCAACCUGCCCCUCGCAGGGGGACAACCGGAGGAAACUCCGGCUAAUACCCCGUACGUUCCCAGGGUCGCAUGGCCUUGGGAGGAAAGGUAGCUUCGGCCAUCCGGCGAGGGAUGGGCCCGCGGUGCAUUAGCUAGUUGGUGGGGUAACGGCUCACCAAGGCAACGAUGCAUAGCUGGUCUGAGAGGAGGAUCAGCCAAACUGGGACUGAGACACGGCCCAGACUCCUACGGGAGGCAGCAGCCAGGAAUCUUGGGCAAUGGGCGCAAGCCUGACCCAGCAACACCGUGUGGGCGAUGAAGGCCUUCGGGUCGUAAAGCCCUGUUGAUAGGGACGAAGGGCGAAGGGUUAAUAGCCCCUAGCCUGACGGUACCUUUCGAGGAAGCCCCGGCUAACUACGUGCCAGCAGCCGCAGUAAUAC
rnacentral:rRNA from 1 species